ACUUUUUGCGGCAAGCUUAACCGUUUAGGGGAGGCGUAGGGAAACCGAGUCUGAAUAGGGCGAAUUAGUCGUAAGGAGUAGACCCGAAACCAAGCGAGCUAUCCAUGGCCAGGGUGAAGGUAGGGUAAUACCUGCUGGAGGCCCGAACCGGGUAAUGUUGAAAAAUUAUCGGAUGAGCUGUGGAUAGGAGUGAAAGGCUAACCAAGCUUGGAGAUAGCUGGUUCUCCUCGAAAGCUAUUUAGGUAGCGCCUCGUGUCUUACUCUCGGGGGUAGAGCACUGUUUCGGCUAGGGGGUCAUCCCGACUUACCAAACCGAUGCAAACUCCGAAUACCGAGAAGUACAAUCACGGGAGACACACGGCGGGUGCUAACGUCCGUCGUGGAAAGGGAAACAACCCAGACCGCCAGCUAAGGUCCCAAAGUUAUAGCUAAGUGGGAAACGAUGUGGGAAGGCAUAGACAGCCAGGAGGUUGGCUUAGAAGCAGCCACCCUUUAAAGAAAGCGUAACAGCUCACUGGUCUAGUCGGCCCGCGCGGAAGAUUUACCGGGGCUCAAGCUAUACACCGAAGCUGCGGACGCAUAAAUUUAUUUAUGCGUGGUAGAGGAGCGUUCUGUAAGCCUGUGAAGGCGUGACCGUGAGGCAUGCUGGAGGUAUCAGAAGUGCGAAUGCUGACAUGAGUAACGAUAAUGUGGGUGAAAAACCUACACGCCGAAAACCCAAGGGUUCCUGCGCAACGCUAAUCGGCGCAGGGUGAGUCGGCCCCUAAGGCGAGACCGAAAGGUGUAGUCGAUGGGAAACAGGUUAAUAUUCCUGUACUGCAAGUUACUGCGAUGAGGGGACGGAGAAGGCUAAGUUUACCGGGCGUUGGUUGUCCCGGGGAAAGCAUGUAGGCGGAGAUCUUUGGAAAAUCCGGGAUCUUGUUAACGUCGAGAUGCAAGACCAUCGACCUUUGUGUCGAGAAGUAGCUGAUGCCAUGCUUCCAGGAAAAGCCUCUAAGCUUCAGGUAACUUGUAACCGUACCGUAAACCGACACAGGUGGGUGAGGAGAGAAUCCUAAGGCGCUUGAGAGAACUCGGGUGAAGGAACUAGGCAAAUUGGUACCGUAACUUCGGGAGAAGGUACGCCCCUGCUGGUGAUGAGACUUGCUCUCUAAGCUGGUGGGGGUUGCAGUGACCAGGUGGCUGCGACUGUUUACUAAAAACACAGCACUAUGCAAACACGUAAGUGGACGUAUAUGGUGUGACGCCUGCCCGGUGCCGGAAGGUUAAUUGAUGAGGUUAGUCCUCGGACGAAGCUUUUGAUCGAAGCCCCGGUAAACGGCGGCCGUAACUAUAGAUUGUUGUAGUUACGUUAAUAAACUUGGCUAUAUGCUGGAAACUCCGGUGUAUCCGUAAGUACUCGUUCGAAAAUCUUUAUUUUGAUUUUUGUUCAGUGAAAAUCUUGCGGUGCGGACAAUCAGCAGGAAAGACUGGCUUUGGCCAGAAUCCUCAGAGACUACACGCCAAGUGCUCGCAAAAUACUUAACUAUUGCCGUCAAUUUUGUGAGUAAUGAUAUAGUCCGAUCUGCAUAGCGAUAUGCAGGGUUUAUGUUCCUUUAAAUCGUAAUAAGCGUGCAUACGAGCUACCGCUUAAACCUAACCAGCAUUUUGUAUUUGCUGGGGAUAACACAGGAUGAACGGUCCUAAGGUAGCGAAAUUCCUUGUCGGGUAAGUUCCGACCUGCACGAAUGGCGUAACGAUGGCCACACUGUCUCCACCCGGGACUCAGUGAAAUUGAAAUAGCUGUGAAGAUGCAGUUUACCUGCGGCUAGACGGAAAGACCCCGUGCACCUUUACUAUAGCUUUGCACUGGACUUUGAACCUAUCUGUGUAGGAUAGGUGGGAGGCUUUGAAGCGGGAACGCCAGUUCUCGUGGAGCCACCCUUGAAAUACCACCCUGGUAUGUUUGAGGUUCUAACCUAGGUCGUUAUCGAUCGGGGACAGUGCAUGGUGGGUAGUUUGACUGGGGCGGUCUCCUCCCAAAGAGUAACGGAGGAGCACAAAGGUACUCUCGGCGCGGUCGGACAUCGCGCGUUGCGUGUAAAGGCAUAAGAGUGCUUGACUGCGAGAUAGACACAUCGAGCAGGAACGAAAGUUGGUCUUAGUGAUCCGGUGGUUCUGUAUGGAAGGGCCAUCGCUAAUCGGAUAAAAGGUACGCCGGGGAUAACAGGCUGAUUCCUCCCAAGAGUCCACAUCGACGGAGGAGUUUGGCACCUCGAUGUCGGCUCAUCACAUCCUGGGGCUGUAGCAGGUCCCAAGGGUAUGGCUGUUCGCCAUUUAAAGUGGUACGCGAGCUGGGUUUAGAACGUCGUGAGACAGUUCGGUCCCUAUCUGCCGUGGGCGUUGGAAAUUUGAAGGGAGCUGCUCCUGGUACGAGAGGACCUUCGUUCCCGUAUCUCUGGUGUUCCGGUUGUCACGCCAGUGGCAUUGCCGGGUAGCUACAUACGGACGGGAUAACCGCUGAAAGCAUCUAAGCGGGAAGCCCCCCCUGAGACUAGAUUUCCCUGGGGACUUGAUCCCCCUGAAGGGUCGUUGAAGACUACAACGUUGAUAGGCUGGGUGUGAAAGCGCAGUAAUGCGUGAAGCUAAACUGUACUAAUUGCCCUUGAGGCUUGGCC
rnacentral:rRNA from 1 species